GAUAUAAGUGGGGGGGGGACAAUAGUCAUCAGAAAUGGGCUGUGGGAGGAGCAACACUGAGACACAAACGGGCAGCAGGCAGAUAAACUCGUCACCUAAUCCACCUACCUCAUAGAACAGGUGUGCCCAAAUGCCAACUCCACCCUGUCUGAUUUAGUCAAUGUCAUUCCUUCCCCCUCCCGAAACUCUAGAGCAGCUCAAUCACCACUAAGCAAGAGACACGAUGAACUUAAGUCCAAUAUGACAGUCUGAUCCUGAUUCAAAUUACACGUUAAUUAAAGGCAAACUUGACAUUCUUCUUCAUCAUGUGUCACCUCAGGGCAAAACUUGUGAAUAGCAGUAUUCACCCUAAUUAUUCCUCUCUUCUUCCAAGAAGUUUGGGAUCCUUGUAACACACAACCCAGAAUCUGAAGUCCUCCAUUGUAAAUUAGUUCACGGGUGACACACCUUCGUUUUUCAGUUGUAAAGAAUUAUGAUUCUACAAUUGAAUAUCCAACUAGGCUAUGGAAGAAGAGACACAUGAGGAGACCAUGGCAGCUCCACAGACAGAGCCAGAGGCCGAAACUGAACCCACAAACCCUGAGGUGCGAGACACCUCAUUGAGAGCAGCAGCUGGGAAGCACUGGCAAGUUUCAUCACUGGCACCGGCAACAUUAGACAAAAGUAUUUUGCUUAUUUUCUAAUGCAGAAAUAUGGAGAUGCAAGCAAAAAGGUAUUGAUUUAUUAAAUGUAAGUAUACGUACAAAACUAAUUCCAUCCACUCAAUUUUUGCACCACUACUUCUAUUUCUUUUCCUUGCACGUCCAACUUCCAAGUUAGCAUUGGUGCUUGUGGUCAACCAAUCAGCAAGUUAUCACUCUAAGUAAGCCCCUCCUCCGUUGUUUGUGUUCAAAUGAAAAAUACCUAGGCAAUGUCCUAAUUCAGGACCUGCAGCCUUGUAAAACUGUAUUUGCAGAUUGAAUGCGUCACAUUGGCACAACAAGGCUGCGCCAUUUCAAAGGUUCCUUCAAAAACGUCCUUCUUUUGCUGAUUUGCAAAGGAUCUACACAAUGGAUCCUUUGAAACCCAACAUAUCCCAAAAUUCAUUGUGCAGAGUUUUAGAAGGGCACGGUCUACAAAGGCUAUGUAGACCUCUUCCUACAAAGGAUGUAGCCCCUGAAUCUAGAAGGGAGUAGGGACUAAAAUGUGUUCUACAACUGGGCCACGUUCCUGCAUUGUGAACAUGACAAACGUUCUUGGUUCCGGAAAAAUGUUUUGGUUACUGAAAAAGUUCCCUGGGGUGUGAAAGCGCCCUAUCAGAAAGUUUUGUUUUAAUUCUCAGAUGACUAUAUUUGGUUUAUGCAUAUAGUUAUUUGCUCUGACAUAGUCCACACAGACUGCUUUAAAAAACACCAUUAGCAUCCCUCAACAGUCAAAACUCUCAAGACUGUAUGGGCUAAUAGAGACAAACACAGAGAAAACAAACAAAAAAGUCACUUAGCAAGCUAGUUGGUCUCUGCCUUGCUACUGGUAUCUAUUGACUCAUGCUAAAUGGUUAGGGUUAAGUUCUCUGUUCAUGCCAAUGUUAUGGAGGUGCAGGGUAGCAUCAUAGACUAAGGGUUAUGUUUAGGUUUAGGGUUAAGUCCUACAGUUCAUUUCAGUAUUAUUGGGGAGCAGGCACACAUCAUAGGCUAAGGGUUAGGUUUAGGUUAAGGGUUAAGUCUCCAGUUCAUGCCAGUUUUAUAGGGUGUGGGCUAGUAUUGUAGACUAAGGUGACUGCAGUCAGCAUCAAGUGACUUUGGCUGCCACUAGUAGCUCUCCAGCCUGUUCACCAUUGGCAUACUUCCACUUCUUCAACCAGGAUGUCUUUGUUUUGCAGAAGCGGAAUCUCAGGGAUGUACUGACUCCCCACAGCAGCAAAAGAGGCUUUUCUUCUUCACUUGGCAUUAUGUUUCCUAAGGAACUGCUUUACAUCCCAUAAACUGUACAUACUGGCAGGUGCUUCUUGGGCAUUAACCCUGAUACAGGGACCAAAUCCUUGAGGAAGAAGUGUGUGAGCUUAAACCAGCAAGUCUGUACACUUCUGAGGAAAAUUUUCGAUUUUGAAUGGUUGUCAAGGUAGACGUUUGCUGAUUGGACUCUUAAUGAUCCCAUAGAUGUUUGUUUGUUGUACUGUUUACAGUUGUUUCUGAUGACUUUUAAAGGUUUUCACUGUUGUUGAAAUCAGCAGAUCACUGUCCUUUUGUCGAUCUUAAAAUCAGAAAACAUACAUUUAAAAACAUAUUUUUCUCACAUUGCAUUUCAGAUGUAAUAUGCCUGAUUAAAAAAGCUAAGGCACAAUUUCCUAUCACUUCCGUAGUGAAAACAUUUAAAUGUUUAUUAAAUUAUGGUUUUGGCCAGUGUAUUUUCUGUAAAAUGUGUUGUGUUUGCAUUUCACGUUAAGAAAAUACAUUUGAAUAAAUAUGUUAAUUGGACAUUGAUUUUGUAUUUCUUUUUAUAUUUGGAGUAAAACUGCAGCUAACACCCAUUUUAACUAGGUAUAUAAUUUUACCUGUAAAGUUACAGUAAUUAAAUUACUGGCUACUAAAUUGCAUUACUUUUACAGUUAAUAUAUAAUGACACAACACAAUACUGUAAUGUAGGCACAGUUCCCCACUCUAAUUCUAA